rnacentral:rRNA from 2 species
AAUGCAGUCGAGCGAACAGACAAGGAGCUUGCUCCUUUGACGUUAGCGGCGGACGGGUGAGUAACACGUGGGUAACCUACCUAUAAGACUGGGAUAACUUCGGGAAACCGGAGCUAAUACCGGAUAAUAUUUCGAACCGCAUGGUUCGAUAGUGAAAGAUGGUUUUGCUAUCACUUAUAGAUGGACCCGCGCCGUAUUAGCUAGUUGGUAAGGUAACGGCUUACCAAGGCGACGAUACGUAGCCGACCUGAGAGGGUGAUCGGCCACACUGGAACUGAGACACGGUCCAGACUCCUACGGGAGGCAGCAGUAGGGAAUCUUCCGCAAUGGGCGAAAGCCUGACGGAGCAACGCCGCGUGAGUGAUGAAGGUCUUCGGAUCGUAAAACUCUGUUAUUAGGGAAGAACAUACGUGUAAGUAACUAUGCACGUCUUGACGGUACCUAAUCAGAAAGCCACGGCUAACUACGUGCCAGCAGCCGCGGUAAUACGUAGGUGGCAAGCGUUAUCCGGAAUUAUUGGGCGUAAAGCGCGCGUAGGCGGUUUUUUAAGUCUGAUGUGAAAGCCCACGGCUCAACCGUGGAGGGUCAUUGGAAACUGGAAAACUUGAGUGCAGAAGAGGAAAGUGGAAUUCCAUGUGUAGCGGUGAAAUGCGCAGAGAUAUGGAGGAACACCAGUGGCGAAGGCGACUUUCUGGUCUGUAACUGACGCUGAUGUGCGAAAGCGUGGGGAUCAAACAGGAUUAGAUACCCUGGUAGUCCACGCCGUAAACGAUGAGUGCUAAGUGUUAGGGGGUUUCCGCCCCUUAGUGCUGCAGCUAACGCAUUAAGCACUCCGCCUGGGGAGUACGACCGCAAGGUUGAAACUCAAAGGAAUUGACGGGGACCCGCACAAGCGGUGGAGCAUGUGGUUUAAUUCGAAGCAACGCGAAGAACCUUACCAAAUCUUGACAUCCUUUGACAACUCUAGAGAUAGAGCCUUCCCCUUCGGGGGACAAAGUGACAGGUGGUGCAUGGUUGUCGUCAGCUCGUGUCGUGAGAUGUUGGGUUAAGUCCCGCAACGAGCGCAACCCUUAAGCUUAGUUGCCAUCAUUAAGUUGGGCACUCUAAGUUGACUGCCGGUGACAAACCGGAGGAAGGUGGGGAUGACGUCAAAUCAUCAUGCCCCUUAUGAUUUGGGCUACACACGUGCUACAAUGGACAAUACAAAGGGCAGCGAAACCGCGAGGUCAAGCAAAUCCCAUAAAGUUGUUCUCAGUUCGGAUUGUAGUCUGCAACUCGACUACAUGAAGCUGGAAUCGCUAGUAAUCGUAGAUCAGCAUGCUACGGUGAAUACGUUCCCGGGUCUUGUACACACCGCCCGUCACACCACGAGAGUUUGUAACACCCGAAGCCGGUGGAGUAACCA